AGGGUUUUGUUUGGAACUGUGUGGAGUCUCAAUGACGUGUGUGCAACAAGACUUGCCAUUGUAGUGUCGAAUUUGAUUGUUUUUUUGAAUUAGGGCUGGGCGAUAUGGCGUUUUUUAGACAGUUUUAUGUCUUCCACAGCUCCUCUACCACACGGGGUCCCCCAGGGCUCAAUCCUUGCCCCAAUCUUCCAUCCAUUUUCUACCGCUUAUUCCCUUUUUUGGGGUCGCGGGGGGGGCGCUGGCGCCUAUCUCAGCUACAAUCGGGCGGAAGGCGGGGUACACCCUGGACAAGUCGCCACCUCAUCGCAGGGCCAACACAGAUAGACAGACAACAUUCACACUCACAUUCACACACUAUUUGCGCUUUACCUUCUCCCCCUUGGUUCUAUUUUUAGGAAGUAUGGUAUUGCAUUUAAUUUGUAUGCCGAUGAUUGCCAGAUCUAUAUUCCCAUGGCACAAAAUAACCCGGUUCAACGUCUCAUUGACUACCUGCACGACAUCAAAGCCUGGCUUUCAGCUAACUUCCUGAGCCUAAAUGAAGACAAAACAGAAGUUAUGUUGUUCGGUCCAAGUUAAGGAUGUCCCGAUCCAGGUUUUUGCACUUCCGAUCCGAUACCGAUAUUGUUUUUGAACUUCCGAUUCGAUACCGAUACUGGCCUAUCCGAGCAUGUAUUAAAGUUUAAAGUUAUUUAGCCUAAUUAGUUGUCAGAUUCAUGUUGAAAAGGGUUUUAGUACUCUUGAUAACAGCUAGCCAGCUGAAUUAGGUGAGUUUGAAUAAUACACAAUAUUUGGUAUUCAAGGAUAACAAAAUUGAAAAAAUUAUACACGUCAAACAGAAAUGGCAUCAUUUAACAGUAAAAAAGUUAUAUUUACAUCUAUAAAGUGCAAAUAAUGCUGUAAAAAUUAUUUUAAAAAGCCUGAGUGGGAUAAAAUGUCUAUAACUCAGCAUCAAUACUUGCUCUUGAACAAGUGUAAACUUAAAAAAAAAUACAAAAAAAUUAUCAACACACUUUUUCAAAUGUUUGCCCCAGUCAGGGGGGGCAAACAAUGGAAGUCCAAGCAUGAUGGGGAGAUUCUUUCUAACAAAGACGAGCACUUCAAGAAGCUCAGGUGUCAACCUGCUCCUGUGUUCAUCUAUGAGUGCUAAAAAGCCUCUCACUCUUAAAAGUCAUUAAAAUGUCUUACAACUUUACCACCACGCUUGACUUUAUUGUGGCAUUGUUUUGCACUCCACCUCUUCAUCUUUUUCGUUUUGUAGGGUAAAAUAAUCCCACACAGCUGCCGUUUUUGCCCUAGCUUUUAAUUCACACUGCCGUCUUAACAGUUAGAACACAGACCUUUAGAUGUGUUGAAGGUGUGCUGGAAAAUGCGGAACGGAAGGUAGAGAGCAGCAUAAGAGUGGAAUGUAUUAUUAAAAUUGGUGCGUUGGAAAAUACGGACCGGAUUUUAAAAAAAAACUGGAUCUGGAUCGGCAUUUUCCCAUGCCUUGCCGAUACGCAUUUUUUGUCAAAUAUCGGCGGCCGAUCGGAUCCAAAUAUCGGAUCGGGACAACCCUAGUCCAAGUCGCUCUACCUCCCACAAUGUUGAUCUCGGCACUCCGACCCCGUAUCUCACCGACUGUGUCACAAACCUGGGGUAAAGUUCGACUCAGAUUUUAAAUUCGAAUAACAAAUCAGCAGCGUCGUUCAAAAAAGCUUUUAUCAAUUACGCCAAAUAGCGAAAGUGAAACCGCUUCUGUCAGGACAUGAACUCGAGAAAUUAAUUCACGCCUUUAUCUCGAAUCGUUUAGACUACUGCAAUGCCCUGAAUGUGGGCAUUAGCCAGGCCUCCCUUGCCCGCCUGCAGCUCGUGCAGAACUCUGCUGCUCGUCUGCUAACACAGACCCACAGACGUGAGCACAUCACCCCUAUAUUAGCGUCCCUUCACUGGCUCCCUGUGCGUUGUCGAAUCAAUUUUAAACUUAUAUUUGUUUUUAAAUGUCUAAACAACCUCGCGCUAACAUAUCUUUCCGACCUCCUGCAGCCUUACUCCCCCACCCGAUCCAUAAGAUCAGCCGAUCAGCUGCUACUGACGGUCCCUGACACAAGGCUGAAGCUUAGAGGUGACAGAGCAUUCGCCGCUGCUGCUCCCAAGCUCUGGAACGACCUACCUCUGAGUGUUAGACAAGCCUCCUCUCUUCCUGUUUUUAAAUCACUCUUAAAAACAUACUUUUAAUCCUUGGCUUUUAACACUGAGUGAUAUCCAUCCUGCAAUGGCGCCCCAUUGUACACCUGCUGUGAACCAUUUUUUUUUUUAUCAUGUUCUGUUUGUGUUGUGUUGUUUGCUCGGUUCUCGUAUUAUCUUUUAACCUGCCCAUUGUACAGCACUUUGGCUACCCCUGUGGUAAAUUUAAAAUGUGCUUUAUAAAUAAAGUUGAUUUUAUUAGAUUUUUUAAAUAUCUCUAUAUUUUUAGGCCGUAUCAAGAUACACGAUAUAUAUCUCGAUAUUUUGCCUUAGCCUUGAAUUAACACCUCAUGCAUAUAAUCAAAGCAGUAUGAUGAUUCUACGUGUCUACAUUAAAACAUUCUUGCUCCAUACAUCCAUCUAUUUUCUACCGCUUGUCCCUUUUGGGGUCGCUGAAGCCUAUCUCAGCUGCAUUCAGGCGGAAGGCGCGCUUACACCCUGGACAAGUCGCCACCUCAUCACAAACAGUCUUGUUCAUACUGCAUUAAUAUAUGCUCAUUUUAAACUUUCAUGCAGAGAGGGAAAUCACAACUAAGUCAAUUUACCAAUACUGUAUUUAUUAAACUGUUAUUAAGCAUUCACGGGGAGAACAUGCAAACUCAGGCGACUUGUCCUGGGUGUACCCUGCCUUCCGCCCGAUUGUAGCUGAGAUAGGCGCCAGCGCCCCCCGCGACCCCAAAAGGGAAUAAGCGGUAGAAAAUGGAUGGAUGGAUGUUAUUAAGCAGUGGCACAAACAUUCAUGUCAUUUCACAACAGAAAGUUCAAGCUUGUCAGAGAUAUUUUAAAAUAGGCUAUUAGUGCGCUUUGGUGCAUGAUGUCACGAAGAUGACAUAUCAAAACAACACUAAAUUAAAGUGCACUUUUUGUACAGAACCCAACUGCAAUAGUUUAUCUUGUGUUUUUUCACACAAAAUAUUUCAACAGCCAUCAAAUAAAAAUGACCAAAAGUGAACAUUAUUUGUUUUAAACUAUUGUAGAUUUUGUUCUCUACAAAAAGUGCGCUUUAAUUUAGUGUUGAUAAAUUUACCUUAUUGGGGUUUCCCUCUCUGCAUGAAAGUUUAAAAUGAGCACAUGAUCAAGAAUGUUUUAAUAUUGACACAUAGAAUCAUCAUACUGCUGUUAUUAUAUGCAUCAGGUCUUAAUUCAAGGUUAAGGCAAAAUAUCGAAAUAUACAUCGUGUAUCGUGUAAUGGCUUAAAAAUAUCGAGAUAUUAAUAAAAGGCCAUCGCCCAGCCCUAAUAUAUUUACAUAUAUAUAUAUAUAUAUAUAUAUAUAUAUAGAUACAUAUAUAUAUAGAUAUAGAUAUAUAAUAUAAUAUAAUAUACUUUGCAGAUGUUGUGAUGAUGUAUCUACUUAUGCUGGCGGGUCGCGUCUUUUCCUGCGUUCACAAGUGAUGUAGCUUGCCCACAGAUGAGGGAAAUUUGGCAUUCAUGUUGCUGCGUUUAGACUGCAGUCACAUUUGAAAAGAUCAGAUUCCAAUUGGAUUUGGACUACCUAAUGAUAUGGCCUGAAUCAGAUGUGAAAAAAAUCAGAUUUUCAGCACUUGGCAGCAUUUAGACUGGCAAAAAAGUCAGAUCUGUGUCACUUGAGGGUAAAAAAAUCAGAUUUGGUGUGCAGAGUAAACGGGGCCAAUAUGUUAACAGUGGUCCAAGUUUCUCUAUACAAAAGGAAACUCUAGUGUUUUUAGGAAUUUACUGCAAAAACAUUUGUCUCACAAGUUUUGAACUGUUGAAUAGCCCUGGUCUAAGGUGUGAAUUUAGGGGAAAUAUGUUUUUUUCCCUCAACAGACAACACUUGUACAAACCCCGUUUCAAUAUGAGUUGGGAGAUUGUGUUAGAUGUAAAUAUAAAUGGAAUACAAUGACUUGCAAAUCCUUUUCAACCCAUAUUCAAUUAAAUGCACUACAAAGACAAAAUAUUUGAUGUUCAAACUCAUAAAAAAAAUUGUUUUGCAAAUAAUAAUUAACUUAGAAUUUCAUGGCUGCAACACGUGCCGAAGUAGUUGAGAAAAGGCAUGUUCACCACUGUGUUACAUCACAUUUUCUUUUAACAGCACUCAAUGAACAUUUGGGAACUGAGGAAACUUAAUUGUUGAAGCUUUGAAAGUGGAAUUCUUUACCAUUCUUGCUUGAUGUACAGCUUAAGUUGUUCAACAGUCCGGGGUCUUGUUGUCGUAUUUUACGCUUCAUAAUGCGCCACACAUUUUCGAAGGGAGACAUGUCUGGACUGCAGGCAGGCCAGAAAAGUACCCGCACUCUUUUACUUUGAUGCCACGCUGUUGUAACACGUGGUUCUGCAUUGUUUUGCUGAAAUAAGCAGGGGCGUCCAUGGUAACGUUGCUUGGAUGACAACAUAUGUUGCUCCAAAACCUGUAAGGACCAUUCAGCUUUAAUGGUGCCUUUACAGAUGUGUAAUUUACCAAUGCCUUGGGCACUAAUACACCCUCAUACCAUCACAGAUGCUGGCUUUUGAACUUUGCGCCGAUAACAAUCCGGAUGGUUAUUUUCCUCUUUGUUCCGGAGGACACCACGUCCACAGUUUUCAAAUAUAAUUUGAAAUGUGGACUCGUCAAGACCACAGAACACUUUUCCACUUUGCAUCAGUCCAUCUUAGAUGAGCUCGGGCGGAGCCAAGCCGGCGGCGUUUCAUGGUGUUGUUGGUAAAUGGGUUUGGCUUUGCAUUGUAGAGUUUUAACUUGCACUUACAGAUGUAGCGACCAACUGUAGUUACUGACAGUGGUUUUAUGAAGUGUUCCUGAGCCCAUGUGGUGAUAUCCUUUACACACUGAUGUCGGUUUUUGAUGCAGUACCGCCUGAGGGAUCAAAUGUCCGUAAUAUCAUCGCUUACGUGCAGUGAUUUCUCCAGAUUCUCUGAACCUUUUGAUGAUUUUAUGUACCGUAGAUGGUAAAAUCCCUAAAUUCCUUGCAAUAGCUCGUUGAGAAAUGUUGUUCUAAAACUGUUCGACAAUUUGCUUACAAAUUGGUGACCCUCGCCCCAUCCUUGUUUGUGAAUUACUUAGCAUUUCAUGGAAGCUGCUUUUUUACCCAAUCAUGGCACCCAACUGUUCCCAAUUAGCCUGCACACCUGUGGGAUGUUCCAAAUAAGUGUUUGAUGAGCAUUCCUCAACUUAAUCAGUAUAUAUUGCCACCUUUCCCAACUUCUUUGUCACGUGUUGCUGGCAUCAAAUUCUAAAGUUAAUGUUUAUUUGCAAAAAAAAAAAGUUCAUCAGUUUGAACAUCAAAUAUGUUGUCUUUGUAGCAUAUUCAACUGAAUAUGGGUUGAAAA